CAGUCGCCACGGGAAUACAGAGGGUGCGAGCGUUAAUCGGAUUUACUGGGCGUAAAGCGUGCGUAGGCGGCUUCUUAAGUCGGAUGUGAAAUCCCUGAGCUUAACUUAGGAAUUGCAUUCGAUACUGGGAAGCUAGAGUAUGGGAGAGGAUGGUAGAAUUCCAGGUGUAGCGGUGAAAUGCGUAGAGAUCUGGAGGAAUACCGAUGGCGAAGGAAGCCAUCUGGCCUAAUACUGACGCUGAGGUACGAAAGCAUGGGGAGCAAACAGGAUUAGAUACCCCGGUAGUCCCUGUCUCUUAUAC
rnacentral:rRNA from 1 species